CUUGCAGACUGGGCUGCCUGACUGUGCCUCUGCCGGGAGCAGCAGGGAUGGGGAGUCGCUCGCGUGGAAUUGCCAGAGGAAACAGUUACCUAUCACUAUGCAGGAGACUUCAGAAUUCUCCCUUCUCCGGCUGACAGAGUAGAGUUUUAACUGAGGACUAAUAAAGACUUCAGCUCCCAGAACGCACCCUAUUCAGGAGAUGCAGAAUGAUUCUGUAUGAUGCACUCCACUAAAUACCAUACCAUUUUAGAACAGAGGAACAAGUACUAUGAAUUUCAAUUCAAAAAGUGAAUUUGAAACCAGUGUUCUGUCAAACAGAAUAAAAACGUUUUUGUGAAGCCCUUUUUAAAAAAGUUAAAUGGUUAGACUAUUCUACACUUAUGUAACAUUUUCCAGUCAAGAAUUUUACAUACUAUUGCUGCUUUACAAACUAACAAAUUUAACUAUGACACUGAGGUACAGGAGUUUUACUCCUAUUUUAGGAGAAAACAGUCUUCGAGCGCUCAGAUUGUUGAUUCUUGAGUUCUGGAGGGCCUUCUAUUAAGGCACUGAGCACCCCUACUUCCCAUACACUUCAAACAGGAUUCUCACAUCAGCAAGCCUUGUGGGACCUUGGGCAAGUCACUUAAGUCUGCAGCAGAGCUGGAAAUAAAAAUCAUAUCUCCUC